GAUGAAGAACGCAGCGAAAUGCGACAAGUAAUGUGAAUUGCAGAAUUCCGUGAAUCAUCGAAUCUUUGAACGCACAUUGCGCCCUCUGGUAUUCUGGAGGGCAUGCCUGUCCGAGCGUCAUUGCUAUACCUCAAGCCCGGCUUGUGUGAUGGGCCUCCGUCCUCCUCCCGGGGGACGGGCCCGAAAGGCAGCGGCGGCACCGCGUCCGGUCCUCGAGCGUAUGGGGCUUCGUCACCCGCUCUUGUAGGCCCGGCCGGCGCUUGCCGACACAUCAAUCUUUUUUCCAGGUUGACCUCGGAUCAGGUAGGGAUACCCGCUGAACUUAAGCAUAUCAAUAGCGGAGGA
rnacentral:misc_RNA from 1 species